UCCGGUGGCAAUGGCGAAGGGGAUCACCUGUACCCAUCCCGAACACAGAAGUUAAGCCCUUCAGCGCCGAUGGUACUUGGCUGGAAACGGCCCGGGAGAGUAGGUCGCCGCCGGUU
rnacentral:rRNA from 1 species